CAUUUUCCUAACGGCCUUAUCCAGGGCAGACCCUAUGGGCAGCUGGAGUCUAUCUCAGCAAUCAUAGGGUGCAAGAAAAGGAACAAUACCAGAACAGGUUGCCAGUCCAGCACAGGCCGAACACACAUGCACAAGGCAAUUUAACAACACCAGUUAAUUUAACCUGCAUGUCUUUAAACUGGGGUGUGUAAAUAUAACUUCAUGCCAAAACUUUCACAUAUCUGAUAUUAAUA